UACGUGAGGGAGCAAGCGUUGUCCGGAAUCAUUGGGCGUAAAGCGCUCGCAGGUGGUUCGUCGCGUCGUGCGUGAAAGACCCCGGCUCACUGGGGAGGGUCGUGCGAUACGGGCGGGACUGGAGGCCAGUAGGGGGAUGCGGAAUUCCGGGUGUAGUGGUGGAAUGCGUAGAGAUCCGGAGGAACACCAGCGGCGAAGGCGGCAUCCUGGACUGGUCCUGACACUCAGGAGCGAAAGCGUGGGGAGCGAGCCG
rnacentral:rRNA from 1 species